GGGGGGAAUUCCUUGAUUAUGUUAAUACCGCCUAGGGAUAGGGGUAGGACGAUCAAUUGUAUUUUGCUUCCGCUCAUUAUGCAUUAUUAAUUACUAGGGGAGGCUAGGGAUAGCAAGCCGGUAAUUAGUAGUAGGCUCUUUUCACCAAGGGAAUGGGUUAAGGGUAGACCAAGAAAGUUUGCAUGGAAAUUGGAUAAACAAGCGAAUUAAAUAAGAAGAGUAGAUAUCUGAGAGUGGAUA
rnacentral:lncRNA from 1 species